rnacentral:rRNA from 1 species
AGUAAACGGCGGCCGUAACUAUAACGGUCCUAAGGUAGCGAAAUUCCUUGUCGGGUAAGUUCCGACCUGCACGAAUGGCGUAACGAUUUCUCCGCUGUCUCCAACAUCAACUCAGUGAAAUUGAAUUCUCCGUGAAGAUGCGGAGUUCGCGUAGUUAGACGGAAAGACCCCGUGCACCUUUACUGCAACUUUACAUUGGUGUUAGGAAAAACAUAUUUCGCAUAGGAGGGAGACUUUGAAGCAAAGGCGUUAGCUUUUGUGGAGUCACCAGUGAAAUACCUCUUUUGUUUUUCUUGACAUCUAACCGCUAGCCGUCAUCCGGCAGCGAGACAUUGUAUGGUGGGUAGUUUGACUGGGGCGGUCGCCUCCCAAAUAGUAACGGAGGCGUGCGAAGGUAGGCUCAGAACGGUCAGAAAUCGUUCGUAGAGUGCAAUGGCAUAAGCCUGCCUGACUGUGAGACUGACAAGUCGAGCAGAGACGAAAGUCGGUCAUAGUGAUCCGGUGCUUCUGAGUGGAAGGGGCAUCGCUCAACGGAUAAAAGGUACGCCGGGGAUAACAGGCUGAUACUGCCCAAGAGCUCAUAUCGACGGCAGUGUUUGGCACCUCGAUGUCGGCUCAUCACAUCCUGGGGCUGAAGCCGGUCCCAAGGGUAUGGCUGUUCGCCAUUUAAAGUGGUACGCGAGCUGGGUUUAGAACGUCGUGAGACAGUUCGGUCCCUAUCUGCCGUGGGCGUUGGAGAAUUGAGGGAAGCUGCUCCUAGUACGAGAGGACCGGAGUGGACGAACCCCUGGUGUUCGGGUUGUCACGCCAGUGGCAUUGCCCGGUAGCUACGUUCGGACAGGAUAACCGCUGAAAGCAUCUAAGCGGGAAGCCCCCCUCAAGAUUAAUUCUCACUGGGACUUUAAGUCCCCUAAAGAGCCGUUGAAGACUACAACGUUGAUAGGCUGGGUGUGUAAGCGCUGUGAGGCGUUGAGCUAACCAGUACUAAUUGCCCGUGAGGCUUGACCAU